rnacentral:rRNA from 1 species
CCCUUAGAUGUUCUGGGCGGCCCGCGCACUACAUUGGCACUCUCAAUAGGUUCCUAGAUCUAAAACUUUGGGGUAUUCUAUUAAGUGGUGUCGUGACUGGGAUUAACCCUUGCAAUUAUUGGUUACGAACGAGGAAUUCCUUGUAAUCGCGGUUUAUCAGCCCGCGUUGAAUGCGUCCCUGCCCUUUGUACACACCGCCCGUCGCUCCUACCGAUGAAUCGUCCGGUGAAGUUCAUGGAGUGGUGGUUGUUCCAGCUGCUGUCGAAGUGAAAUGGACCUCACGAUUUAGAGGAAGGAGAAGUCGUAACA